AAAAAAUAUGUGUGUGUGUGAUACAUUUUCAUUAUGAUUUUUUUCUGAAAGAAAUGUGGCUUGUAAAAAAUUUGAUUGGCUGGACAAAUUUGGACAUCCACCAGCCAAUGUUAAUUUCACAUUCUGAUUACAAUACUCAUUACAGCUCUAACCAUACACACAGAGACAUAUACACUCAUGACACAUUCCUAGUGGCGCCACCACUGCUGGGCACUGGCUGUAAGGCGAUAGAGGGAGCGGGAACUGAGCAGGAACUGGAUGAGAAGCAAAGGGAAAAGAAGAGAGGAUUAGAUACAUCUCACUACCAUGACUCACUGAGGCUGUCUAGACUAUUAUUAGUACAGAGAAGAAGGGUGGGGGGCUUUUAUACAGGGAGAGAUGGAGGCAACUGUUGUCGUUGUUGGAUCGUGGUAACUGGAAAGAAGGGGAUGUUGUCACUGAUCAUGAUCAGGCGAUGACAUACAGAAACUAUUUCUACUCUUUCAGCGAUCAGAGCCUGUGCUGUCUCACACAAGCUCAGUCGUCGAGCCGCACGUCUGGAGACAACCCCUUGGGAAAAAUACCAGAGAGAGCUCAAGUUUCUUAGAGAGGCAAGACAGAGAAGAAGCUUUCGGACCACACGCAGAGUUAAAGAGGAGGUAAAAGAGACACAGAGUGGUUCCGACUGGGCCCAGAGUGAAAGAAGGAACAGAAGGUCCAGUUCAUUUACCACAAGCUACGUCUGGUUUCCCAUCCAGGGCUGACCAGGACCACCCCUUCUUAGCUUCAAAGGCAAAUCUGCAGUGGGAUGCCUCUGUGUUAUGUUGCUGGAAUGAAUAUGUUGAAACUUGUAACUGGAAAAAAGGCAGCGAACGCAAAGGCCAGGGUAACAACCAAAGAUAGGAAAAUUGCAAGAAAGAGGGAGGCAUUUUAUUUAAUUGCAUUAUCAGAAAAAUAAAAAAAUCACUGAAAGAACCAUUUUUGCAUCCAUCUACAAUUAAUUUGUUCUCGCAUUGAACAAUUAUUUUCUUGCAAUAUUUUGUUUUGCUAUCAAUACUUUUGGGUUCAUGUUUAAAUUUCAAUAUCAUUCUUGUUUGUAGUACUAAGAAUUUUGUUCUCGACUUCAGACGUUUUGCUUAAUAUUAAUGGCACAAAAGUAACUCACUCACUAGAGGAUUGCACCAUACAAUAACACUAUUACUAAACAUGUUAAAAGCAGCUAUCCUUAAUUGAAACAUUAACAAAGUGUCUUCUCCGCCACAGUUUCAGUAAAAAUCUAAGAGAUGGGGCUGGAGAAAUGAAACCACUCUCAAAUCUAUAAAGUGCGCUAUGGAUUCAAGGACUGACCAUUUAUGAUUUUUAUAUAAUUAUAUUAUAUUUCUAACCAUGUUUUUAGGCUAUACAGUGUUUAGAUGUACUUUGUUCACAAACAUUGGGGUAUAUGGGGAAGUUUUCUUACAUGUGAAACUGAACAUUUGAUUUUCCAUGUGGUAUUGUAAGUUCACAUGUGAAAAACAAUCACGUGAAAGUUUUGCACAUAUGAAACUGCUAAUUAGAUAAUUACAUAUGGAGUUUUCUUACAUAUGAACCUGCAAAUUAGAUUUUUUCAAAUGUGAUAGAUACAAUUUUAUUAUGAUUUGAAUCAGUUACAUGCUUCGUAAACAACAGGUGUAGACUAACAGUAAAAUGCUAACUUAAGGGUCCUUCCAAACAAUGCAGAGAGAAAAAAAUAAUUAAAAAAAAAAUAACACGAGGAAUAAAUACACAAUGAGUAACAAUAACUUGGCUAAACACGGGGUACCAGUACCGAGAUGAUUUUCAGGGUUACGAGGUAAUUGAGGUAGAUAUGUACAUAUACUGUAGGUAGGGGUAAAGUGACUAGAUAAUUGGAUAGAUAAUAAACAGUAGCAUCAGCGAAUGUGAUGAGUCAAAAUAGUUAGCGCAAAAAGGGUCAAUGUAGAUAGUCCGGGUAGCUAUUUGGUAAACUAUUUAGCAGUCUUAUGGCUUGGGGGUCACAAGCUGUUUAGUUUCCUGAUGGUUCCAGACUUCGGGACCACUUGCCAUAUGGUAACAGAGAGAACAGUCUAUGACUUGGGUGGUUGGAGUAUUUUGCAAUUGUUAGGGCCUUCCUCUGACACCGUCUGGUAUAGAAGUCUUGGAUAGCAAGGAGCUCAGCCUCAGUGAUGAACUGGGCCUUAUGCACUACCCUCUGUAACGCUUGCUGUCAGAUGCCAAGCAGAUGCCAUACCACAUGGUGAUGCAGCCAGUCAAGAUGCUGUCAAUGGUAUAACUUUUUGAGGAUCUGAACUACCAUGACAAAUCUUUUCAGCCUCCAGAGGGGGAAGAUGCAUUGUUGUGCUUUCUUCACAACUGUGUUGGUGUGAGCGGACCAUGUUAAUUCCUUAAUGAUGUGGACACCGAGGAACUUGAAGCUCUUGAGCUGCACCACUAUGGCCCGUUCGAAGGGGACGUGCUUUUCUCUUUGAUUCCUGUAGUCCACGAUCAGCUCUUUUGUCUUGAUGAUGUUGAGAGAGAGGUUGUUGUCCUGGCACCACACUAUCAGGUCACUGACCUUCUCCCUAUACGCUGUCUCGUCGUUGUCGGUGAUCAGGCCUACCACCAUUGUGUCAUCAGCAAACAUAAUGAUGGUGUGAACGCUGAGCUGUAGUCAGUGAACAGGGUUCCUCUUGUCCAGGUGGGAGAGGGCAAUGUGGAAUGCAACAGAUAAUAUGUCCUCUGUGGAUCUGUUGGGGCGGUAAGCGAACUGGACUGAGUCCAGGGUGUCUGGGAUGAUGGUGUUGAUAUGAGCCAUGACCAGCCUUUCAACGAAUGUCAUGGAUACAGAUGUGAGUGCUACAGGGCAAUAUUCAUUUAGACAGGUUACCUUGGCGUUCUUGGGCACAGGAACUAUGAUGGUCUGCUUGAAACAUGUACAGUUGAAGUCGGAAGUUUACAUACACCUUUGCCAAAUACAUUUAAACUCAGUUUUUCACAAUUCCUGACAUUUAAUCCUAGUAAAUAUUCCAUGUCUUAGGUCAGUUAGGAUCACCACUUUAUUUUAACAAUGUGAAACGUCAGAAUAAUAGUAGAGAGAAUGAUUUAUUUCAGAUUUUAUUUCUUUCAACACAUUCCCAGUGGGUCAGAAGUUUACAUACACUUAAUUAGUAUUUGGUAGCGUUGCCUUUAAAUUGUUUAACUUGGGUCAAACGUUUUGGGGAGCCUUCCACAAUCUUCCCACAAUAAGUUGGGUGAAUUUUGGCCAAUUCCUCCUGACAGAGCUGGUGUAACUGAGUCAGGUUUGUAGGCCUCCUUGCUCGCACACCCUUUUUCAGUUCUGCCCACAAAUUUUCUAUAGGAUUGAGGUCAGGGCUUUGUGAUGACUACUCCAAUACCUUGACUUUGUUGUCCUUAAGCCAUUUUGCCACAACUUUGGAAGUAUGCUUGGGGUCAUUGUCCACUUGGAAGAGCCAUUUGCGACCAAGCUUUGGGGAGACUUGGCUACGUUGGCUACAGCACAUGUAUAUGAAAUGCAGUGGGAAAAGCGUGAGGGUUGUAUGAGAUUACAUAUUCAAAGACAGCCUACUUUUCUAUAGCCUACUCAAGGGAGAGAUAAUCAUAGCUAGACUGUUGUUUUAUUAUUAAACUCAGUACUGCUAUUGUUUCUAAUUUUGUAAAGCAGCAUGUGUUUUUUAACCAGGCAAAUGGUAGCUAACUAGAAAGCUGGUGGUGAGAUAGUUAGGUGAAGCAAGAGUCACAUGCACAGGCUCAGCCUGUCUGCUGCUCUGCCCACACUGAUCGAUUGCUCAACCGCAGCUUACCAGCUGAUGUAGGCUGUGUUUGCCUGGUGUGACCCGUCCUUCCCACUGCUGAACACAUUUUUUCUCUUCUUAUUUUAGUCAACUGAAAUAAAUAAUAAUGUUUCUUUAGUUCUAGUUUUUUUCUGGGUCCAUUUUGCCUUAAAAAUAGAUGUUUGAUUAAUAUUUUUUUUGUUAACAAAAUUAACCCUCCAUCACAUCAGUCAUUUAUCAAAGCCAGAGCUCAUGUGACGAACAAGGAUUACAGAUUUAUUGACCAUGUUUAGAUUUGUGCAAAACAGAUUAUCAUUCCUCAUGCUGUUGUAUAUGAAUAUUUAUCAUACUAUUUAAUCCCUCCCUGUCCAUCUCUAUUUCCUCCCUCUCCAUAUGUUCCCUUGAUGAAACAAGCGAACAUGUAACUGAAUCAGGUUUGUAGGCCUCCUUGAACGCACACACUUUUUUAGUUGUGCCCACACAUUUUCUAUAGGACAAAACACCAGGGCUUUGUGAGGAGCAUUCCAAUACCUUGACUUUGUUGUCCUUAAGCUAUUUGCCACAACUUUGGAAGUAUGCUUGGGGUCAUUGUCCAUUUGGAAGACCCAUUUGCGACCAAGCUUUAACUUCCUGACUGAUGUCUUGAGAUGUUGCUUCAAUAUUUCCACCUAAUUUUCCUACCUCAUGAUGCCAUCUAUUUGUGACGUGCACCAGUCCCUCCACCCUGCCACCCACGUACUUCACGGUUGGCAUGGUGCUCUUCGGCUUGCAAGCGUCUCCCUUUUUCCUCCAAACAUAAAGAUGGUCAUUAUGGCCAAACAGUUCCGUUUUUGUUUAAUCAGACCAGAGAACAUUUCUCCAAAAAAGUAUGAUCUUUGUCCCCAUGUGCAGUUGCAAACCGUCGUCUGGCUUUUUUAUGGCGGUUUUGGAGCAGUGGCUUCUUCCGUGCUGAGCGGCCUUUCAGGUUAUGUCGAUAUAGGACUCGUUUACAAGUGGAUAUAGAUACUUUUGUACCUGAUUCUUCCAGCAUCUUCAUAAGGUCCUUUGCUGUUGUUCUGGGAUUGAUUUGCACUUUUCGCACCAAAGUACAUUCAUCUCUAGGAGACAGAACGCAUCUCCUUCCUGAGCGGUAUGGCGGCUGUGUGGUAUCAUGGUGCUUAUACUUGCGUACUAUUGUUUGAACGGAUGAACAUCGUACUUUCAGGUGUUUGGAAAUUGCUCCCAAGGAUGAACCAGACUUGUGGAGGUCUACAAUAAUUUUUCUGAGGUCUUGGCUGAUUUCUUUUGAUUUUCCCAUGAUGUCAAGCAAAGAGGCACUGAGUUUGAAGGUCGGCCUUGAAAUACAUUCACAGGUAAACCUCCAAUUGACUCAUAUUAUGUCAAUUAGCCUAUUUAAAGCUUCUAAAGCCAUGACAUAUAAUUUGGGAAUUUUCCAAGCUGUUUAAAGGCACAGUCAACUUAGUGUAUGUUAACUUCUGACCCAUUGGAAUUGUGAUACAAUGAAUUAUAAGUGAAAUAAUCUGUCUAUAAACAAUUGUUGGAAAAAUGACUUGUGUCAUGCACAAAGUAGAUGUCCUUAAUUAACGACUUGCCAAAACUAUAGUUUGUUUACAAGAAAUUUGUGGAGUGGUUGAAAAACGAGUUUUAAUGACUCCAGCCUAAGUGUAUGAAAACAUCUGACUUCAGCUGUAGGUAUUACAGACAGGUUCAGAGAGAGGUUGAAAAUGUCAGUGAAGACACUUGCCAGCUGGUCAGCACAUGCUCUGAGUACGCAUUAUAGGUAUUGUGUCCAGCCCUGCAGCCUUGUGAAUGUUAACCUGUUUUAAGGUCUUACUCACAUUGGCUACUGAGAGCAAGAUCACACAGUCAUCCAGAAGAGCUGGUGCUCUCAUUUAGCUUGUCUGGUAGGAUUAUGUCACUGGGCAGCUUGCGGCUGGGUUUCCCUUUGUAAUCCAUGAUAGUUUGCAACCCCUGACAAAUCCGAUGCGGGUCAGAGCCGGCGUAGUAGGAUUCGGUCUUAGUCCUGUAUUGACGCUUUGCCUGUUUGAUGGUUCAUCUGAGGUCAUAGCAGGAUUCUUAUAAAUGUACGGAUUAGUGUUCAGCUCCUUGAAAGCAGAAGCUCUAGCCUUUAGCUGCAGAUGUUGCCUGUAAUUCAUGGCUUCUGGUUGGGAUAUGUGCAUACAGGCACUGUGGGGAUGGCGUCGUCGAUGCACUUAUUAAUGAAUCCUGGAACAUAUUCCAGUCUGUGCUAGCGAAACAAUCCUGUAGCUUAGCAUCGGACCACUUCCCUAUUGUGCACGUCACUGGUAAUUCCUGUUUGAGCAUUUGCUUACAAGCAGGAAUCAGUAGGAUAUACUUAUGGUCAGAUUUGCCAAAGGGAAGGCGAGGGAGAGCCUUGCAUGAAUUUGUGUGUGUGAAGUACAGUUUUGUCGCCUUUAGACGCACAAGUGAAAUGCUGGUAAAAAUGAAGUAAAACAGAUUUCAGUUUUCCCAUGUGAAAUUCAGAUUUUCACAUGAAGUUUUUUUUACAUGUGAAAUGGCAAAUGUGAUUUUGACAUAUACAUGUUUUUCACAUGUGGAAAUGCAAUUCCACAUGUGAAAGUGUGUGAAUGUGGACUCUGAGUCUGGUACCUUAUUAUAGUUCCAUCUGUUUUAGCUGUUUGUGUAGAGAAUGUGUGCGUCUGUUUAUCAUUGUUUGUGACAAGUGUGGGCAGCAUGUGAGUUCCUGUGCAUCUGUGUCUCCAUCUGUAUCUCUGUGAGAGGGCUAAGUAGUGGAGGAGUUGGGAGCUGGUUGAACUGUGUGUAGGCUGUGAGCGCUCUCCACACACAGCCUCUUCAUUGUUCUGGGCUCUACAGGAGAAAAUACUAAGAUUGGACACAGCUGAUUUGGAGGAUAUAAGAAGAUGAGAAGGAGGCACCAGUGGAUGAGAUGCAACAGGUGAAGAUGCAAGAAGGAUAGAAAUCCAGGCAGAUAUACUCGAUACAGUGAUAUGGAGAGGCGAUGAUAUUAAAGGCAGUGAUGAAUUAGGGCCCCUCCCAGACAGACAGACACCCCCCCCCCCCUUUUCUCUCUCUGACUCCCGUUACCGAGAGGCAUGUGAAUACCUCAUUACUUUUGAUCCCAGUAGGAUGUGGCUAGAGAACCUGGCCAGCUGCUAUGUGGAGCAGGCAGGUGGGGCACAGAGCUCGUUGUGUGUGUUUGUGUAACUAUGUUUACGGGGAGGGGUGUGUAUGUUUAUGUGUGUGGGGGGAGGUGUGUGUAUGCAUAGUACUGUAUGGAAGGGGUCCAACUCAGAGUCCAAACCCCUCCACUCGCCCAAGAGCUGGGGUCCUGAUUGUAUGACCUUGUGUAAACAAACACACUGAGCCCCCCUGCCCGACAUCCCAGCUCGGGGGUCCGUCAAUAAGGAUGCAGGUUGUAUUGCAUAAUCAUGAUGUGUGUGGUUGACAGGGGCUUGGCAGUGCGUAGGUGUGUGAAAUUGUGUCAAGUGGACAGGGGGCCCUGGGGGGUUAUAUAUAAACUAUUGGGACCAAAUUCAGUGAUUUUUGCAAUUCGUUCAAAAACCACUACUAAAAUAUAAACACCGGAGCAUUUGUGCAUCACACAUAAAACACACUUUCAAAAGCAACCACUUUUGUAGUGCAUUGUAUUGUUUUGUUUUACUUACAGUGCCUUCGGAAAGUAUUCAGACCCCUUCACAUAUUCCACAUUUUGUUACGUUACUACCUUAUUCUGAAAUCGAUGAAAUACAUUUUUAAAAGUAUCAUCAAUCUACACACAAUACAGCAUAAUGACAAAGCGAAAACAGGUUUUAAGAUAUUUUUGGAAAUGUAUUUGUAACGGUUUUCUUUACUUGAAGGAGAGGCGGACCAAAACGCAGCGUGGUGGUUAUUCAUGGUUCUUUAAUAUAGACACUAUACAUGAAUAAACUAACAAAACAAGAAAUGUGAAAAAACCAAAACCGCACUAUCUGGUGCAAACACAGAGACAGGAACAAUCACCCACAAACACAGUGAAACCCAGGCUACCUAAGUAUGAUUCUCAAUCAGAGACAACUAAUGACACCUGCCUCUGAUUGAGAACCAUACUAGGCCCGAAACAUAGAAAUACCCAAAUCAUAGAAAAACAAACAUAGACUGCCCACCCCAACUCACGCCCUGACCAUACUAAAUAAUGACAAAACAAAGGAAAUAAAGGUCAGAACGUGACAGUAUUACAUUUAAAAUUGAAAUACCUUAUUUACAUAAGUAUUCAGACCCUUUGCUAUGAGACUCAAAAUUGAGCUCAGGUGCAUCCUAUUUCCAUUGAUAAUCCUUGAGAUGUUUCUACAACUUGAUUGUAGUCUUGGAGUAAAUUCAAUUGAUUGGACAUGAUUUGGAAAGGCACAUACCUUUCUAUGUAAGGUCCCACAGUUAACAAUGCAUGUCAGAGCAGAAACCAGGAAUUGUCCGUAGAGCUCCGACAUAGGAUUGUGUCGAGGCAAAGAAAUGGGGAGGGUUACCAAAAAACUUCUGUAUUGAAGGUCCCCUAGAACACAGUGGCCUCAAUCAUUCUUAAAUGUAAGUAGUUUGGAGCCACCAAGACUCUUCCUAGAACUGGCCGCCCGGCCAAACUGAGCAAUCGGGGGAGAAAGGCUUUGGUGAGGGAGGUGACCAAGAACCCGAUGGAGUUUCUGGAGAUGGGAGAACAUUCCAAAAGGACAACUAUCUCUGCAGCACUCCACCAAUCAGACCUUUAUGGAAGAGUGGCCAGACUGAACCCACUCCUCAGUGAAUGGCACAUGACAGCCCGCUUGGAGUUUGCCGAAAGGCACCUAAAGACUCUCAGACCAUGAGAAACAAGAUUCUCUGUCCUGAUGAAACCAACUCUUUAGCCUGAAUACUAAGUGUCACAUCUGGAGGAAACCUGGCACCAUCCCUACGGUGAAGCAUAGUGGUGGCAGCAUCAUGCUGUGGGGAUGUUUUAAGGAGGCAGGUACUGGGAGACUAGCCAGGACCGAGGGAAAGAUGAACAGAGCAAAGUACAGAGAGUUCCUUGAUGAAAACCUGCUCCAGAGUGCUCAGGACCUCAGACUGGGGUGAAGGUUCACCUUCCAACAGAACAACAUUCCUAAGCACACAGCCAAGACAAAGCAGGAAUGGCUUCGGGACAAGUUUCUGAAUGUCCUUGAGUGGCCCAGCUACAGGCCGGACUUGAACCCGAUCGAACAUCUCUGAAGAGACCUGGAAAUAGCUGUGCAGUGACGUGUUCGUGUGUGUAGGAGCGCUAGGAUUAAUAAGGCAUGGGUUAUGUCUGCUCUCACCUUUCACUCCCAUACACGUGCUGCUGUGGACAGUAUACUGUAUAUGGGUCUAUAAAUAAUGGGGCCAAUGUGUGACAUUGGGAUACAUAUUUUUAAAUGGUUUGAAACAAAAAUAAAAAGUAUUUUCAUGCAGUUCCACGUGUACUUAGAGGGAUAAAAGUGAAUAUAUGUAAAUUGGCCCAUAACUCCAGCUAUACAACAACAUAGGUCUAGGACUAUACAUCAUUAAGCAGAGUUCAUACAGACAUUGGCAAGUCUAAUUCAAGGACUUUCAGGGACUUUUUCAAGUACCUAAUUGUCAUUUUCAAGGACCUCAAUGUUAUACAAUUGAGUAAUUUAUAUAAUUAUUAUUACAUUCUAAAAUGUGUGAGAAUAAUGUGGACUUGCCUGACUAAAUAAAUUCGAUGCAUGCACGGCAAUAUUUCUGUAGCCUAUGUGGCCGACACAGGGACAUGAAUAGUUCCAUGAAUAGUGGUAGCAUUAAUAUCACCAUUUGAAUCUCACCAUCGCUGUUUUAAUGAGAAAGUGACCAAAAAUCAGGUUCCUUUUCUAAUGGAAGGAUUCGUAUGGAAUGUCAAGUUGAAGCCAACAUUAGAUUAACUGCACGACCUCAUAAUAACCACACUUGGUUUUACAGCAACAGAAUUGCAACACCCUUCAACUGAAGCUGUAGGAAACAAACGAAAGUGGCCACAUUGGCCACAUCUCUCACAAAAACGGAUUGGAAAAGAAAUCACAGGUAAAUUAGAAAGGAACAGGAGAACUUAAUUAUAACAAGUACAAUAAGUUUCCAAGCACCAAAUAGGUAGGCCUAUUCCAGAGUUCCAAAUUCAAGUUCAAGUAGGCUUCUUCAGGCCCCUUGUGUUGUUUAAAAUUGCCUGUGAAACAUGGAAAACAAAAUGAAUUUGUCAUGUUAUUUCAUUACCAGAUCAUAUAGUGAAUGAACCCACUAGGCUAUAUAAUUUGUUGUCAAUAUAUGCAGAAUAAUUCAGGUGUUGCGCAACCCUACACAAGUGCACACAGGAGAAUCCGAUGCACAAAAACAUAUAAACUGUGCCUUCUUCAGGGUCAGUGAAGAAAGCACAGUGAUGCCGAAACGUAAAGACCCAAUAAAUUACUGGGAGUUUACAUAUGGAGUGUGCGACUCUUUAUUUUUAUAGUUUAUAGUUUAUUCGCCAUUAGUCAGCACCUCCACACAAAAUAAUUUUUCUGGGUGUGCGCCAGCUCAUAUUUUUUAUUCUACAAAAGCAUAAUGAAACAUGAACUCAUUACCUCGAUGCUUUCUCUGUUAAAUCUAACGAGACCCUGCUGUAAAUCAAAAACAACAUAUAAUAACCAUCAAUUUGCUAGGGAUAUUAUAUUGAACGUGGAUCCAGACACAACUAUCUUCAUCAGCGUAACAAAUGAGAUACCAAAAUAUCCUGGACAUUCCUCGCGAACACCUUUUUUCCACCACGUGGGCUGUUGUUGCAUCGAAUGCAACCAGUAGAGGUGCAUGAGUAAAAUCACUGGGGAAGCCAGGACCUCCUCCUCUGACUAUUAGAUGUGUGUG